CGUGUAGGCGGGAAAGCAAGUCAGAUGUGAAAUACCGAGGCUUAACUUCGGAGCUGCAUCUGAAACUGCGUUUCUUGAGUGUCGGAGAGGAAAGUGGAAUUCCCAGUGUAGCGGUGAAAUGCGUAGAUAUUGGGAGGAACACCAGUGGCGAAGGCGACUUUCUGGACGAUAACUGACGCUGAGGCGCGAAAGCGUGGGGAGCAAACAGGAUUAGAUACCCUGGUAGUCCACGCCGUAAACGAUGGAUACUAGGUGUGGGAGGUAUCGACCCCUUCCGUGCCACAGUUAACACAAUAAGUAUCCCACCUGGGGAGUACGGCCGCAAGGUUGAA
rnacentral:rRNA from 1 species